GAUCUUUUAUAUCAGUUCUAGCAUGACAUCCCAGCAACAUUUCCAGUACCUGAUGUCGAUCUUCCCAUCUAUGCUCCGAAGUAGCAAUGUGCAGAACGGUUUUACCUUCCUUGUUUUUCCAGUUGAGGAGCUCUCCUUCCCAAAAAUCUGCAUCUUCGAAUGAAGAACUCCUAAGCCAAUCCAUCAACAAAAAUUCAAAAGCAUCCUUUUGGUGUUUCUUUACUGCAAUGUGUAAAGCAGUGUCGCCUUGGAAGGUAACAUCUUUGAUAGAUUCCGGGUAACCUUUAAAACAUUCUCUCAAAAUAGACAAGUUUCCAUUUUCAGCUGCAUGAUGCAAAGGAGUGAAACCCCCUUUUCCUUUGACACGGACGAGGCUUCCAUCAACAUCUAUGAGCCACAUCACCAUUAGCAUGUCCUCAUUCUGCAAAGCAAGGUGCAUGGGGCUAAACCCAUCUGGGUUUA
rnacentral:misc_RNA from 1 species